AGCUGAACAAGGCCACAAUUUGCUGCACAAUAAGGAGUGUGUGUCUGGCUAUCAAAGCAUUAGCAGAUGUCUUCAUCUCCUUCCUGGCCACAGAAGACUCUGUGACAUCAAAGAGGAGUUCUAUAGGAUUGCAGAUGGUCUGCAAUGCUGACUGUGUGAUCAGCAAUGUUGUGGCAAAAUGGCCUGGCUCAGUCCAUGACUCCAGAAUCUUUCGGGCCUCUGAAAUCUAUCAGUGCCUAUCACAAGGUGAAUUCUCUGGUGUGUUGCUGGGAGACAGGGGUAUGGCUGCCAGCCUUUUCUCCUGACACCUUUCACAGACCCCCAGGAAGCACAGCAGGCCUACAACCAUGCCCAUGCCAGGACCAGGGCCAGAGUUGAAAUGACCUUUGGCCUCCUGAAGGCACGCUUUCACUGCCUUCACAAAUUAAGGGUCAGCCCUGUUAGGGCAUGUGAUAUUACUGUGGCUUGUGCUGUCCUCCACAAUGUGGCCUGCCUGAGGAAGGAGAGGGCCCCCAGAGUGCCACCAGCCAUGGACUGGGACAAUCCGGCAAUCUUCCCUGAUGACGACAGUGGUCGGCUGCUGAGGGACCAAUAUGUGUUGAAUUAUUUUAGUUAGUAUGUGUGCUUUCAAUUUUGGUUAAAUAUGUCCUGCGGUGGCAGAGGAAUUUGGGUUUUUGGGUUCGUUUUUGACGAAUUUGGCCUCUUAUGAUGUUUGUGCGGUAUACUGUGUGUAAUACAAGGCUGCAGGAGGCUACUGCAUCCAUUCAUUUGUCUGUUCAGUUGAUGUGUAUGGAUUUGUCCUGCAUUUAUUUUAGUGUGCAGACAUGCAGGGUGUGUUAUAUACAGACCUUUGAAUGUGUAUGUAUCAUUUUGUAUAAUAUGCUUGGAUUCUGUGCUUUCCAUCUUGUAGAGUCACUGUGACUUCAGUUUCGAAAGGAGCUGAUGGUUUACCUGCUUUGUUUUGUCCUUAUUCAAUAAAGGAACAUAAUGUUACACAUUGUGUUUUUAUAUUCA